rnacentral:rRNA from 1 species
GACGAACGCUGUCGGCGUGCCUAAUACAUGCAAGUCGAGCGGACUGAUUAAGAGCUUGCUCUUAUGACGUUAGCGGCGGACGGGUGAGUAACACGUGGGCAACCUGCCCUGUAGAUCGGGAUAACACCGAGAAAUCGGUGCUAAUACCGGGUAAUAUCUGAGAUCACAUGAUCUUAGGUUAAAAGAUGGCUCCGGCUAUCACUACAGGAUGGGCCCGCGGCGCAUUAGCUAGUUGGUAAGGUAAUGGCUUACCAAGGCGACGAUGCGUAGCCGACCUGAGAGGGUGAUCGGCCACACUGGGACUGAGACACGGCCCAGACUCCUACGGGAGGCAGCAGUAGGGAAUCUUCCGCAAUGGACGAAAGUCUGACGGAGCAACGCCGCGUGAGUGAUGAAGGGUUUCGGCUCGUAAAGCUCUGUUGUUAGGGAAGAAACAGUACCGAACGAACUAGGUCGGUACCUUGACGGUACCUAACCAGAAAGCCACGGCUAACUACGUG